rnacentral:misc_RNA from 1 species
CAGCAGUGGCAGUCUGAGUCAAGGGGGCGGAGCUCCGGGGGAGACAGCUGGUACACCCUCAGACUCAGAGGAAGUUACCAAAACAGACUCAGAACCCGCAAAACCGAAGACGAGCAAAGACAAGCCUUCCCCCCACUUGGAGGUGCAAUUCUCCGACUCCACGGCCAACUUCAUAGUGAAGAUCUACUAUGCGGAGGAGUUUGCUCGUCUCCGUGCCACCAUAUUCCCGGCAGGUGAAGACGCGUUUGUGCGCUCGCUCAGCCGCUGUGUGCAGUGGGCUGCACGAGGUGGCAAAUCUGGCUUCCAAUUUUGCCAAAACAAAAGAUGACAGAUUUAUACUUAAGGAGAUGUCGCGCACAGAGACCCACCCGUUCAUGGACUCUGCGCCGCAAUACUUCGACUACAUGGACAGAUGCGCGGCGGCCGGGUCACCGACACUGCUGGGCAAGAUAGUGGGUGUGUACCGUGUUAUCUACCGCAGCACCACCUCCAACGCCACGUUCCGCUCCAAUCUGCUGGUCAUGGAGAACCUGUUUUACAACCGGUCAGUCCGACACAAGUUUGACCUGAAGGGCUCUGUUCGCAACAGGCUGGUCAAUCCCCUGGAGCAAGGUGGAGAGAUCGUGCUGCUUGAUGAGAACCUAAUCAAUAUGACCUGUGACAACCCUCUGUACAUCCUCCCACACUCCAAGACUGUGCUGAUGCAAGCAAUUCAGUCUGACACCCAGUUCCUGGCCACUCAGGCUGUCAUGGACUACUCUCUGCUGGUGGGGCUUGACGAGACCAACAAGGAACUGGUGGUCGGCAUUAUAGGUAACUAUUGUAUAACACUAUACACUACAACUGUAUGUUCCUGGCCACUCAGGCUGUCAUGGACUACUCUCUGCUGGUGGGGCUUGACGAGACCAACAAGGAACUGGUGGUCGGCAUUAUAGGUAACUAUUGUAUAACACUAUACACUACAACUGUAUGUUCCUGGCCACUCAGGCUGUCAUGGACUACUCUCUGCUGGUGGGGCUUGACGAGACCAACAAGGAACUGGUGGUCGGCAUUAUAGGUAACUAUUGUAUAACACUAUACACUACAACUGUAUGUUCCUGGCCACUCAGGCUGUCAUGGACUACUCUCUGCUGGUGGGGCUUGACGAGACCAACAAGGAACUGGUGGUCGGUAUUAUAGACUACAUAAGAACGUUUACAUGGGACAAGAGGCUGGAAACCAUGGUGAAAAAGAGUGGACUGCUG